rnacentral:rRNA from 1 species
AGGCCUAAUACAUGCAAGUCGAACGGAUGUCAGCAAUGGCAUUAGUGGCGCACGGGUGCGUAACACGUAACUAACCUACCUAUAACUGGGGGAUAGCCCGCCGAAAGGCGGAUUAAUACCGCAUAAGCUGCUUGGGUGGCAUCACCUGAAUAGUAAAGAUUUAUUGGUUAUAGAUGGGGUUGCGGGUCAUUAGCUAGUUGGUAAGGUAACGGCUUACCAAGGCGACGAUGACUAGGGGAGCUGAGAGGCUGGUCCCCCACACGGGCACUGAGAUACGGGCCCGACUCCUACGGGAGGCAGCAGUAGGGAAUAUUGGGCAAUGGGCGAGAGCCUGACCCAGCCAUGCCGCGUGCAGGAAGAAGGCUUUCUGAGUCGUAAACUGCUUUUGACAGGGAAGAAUAAGCUGGUCGUGACCAGUGAUGACGGUACCUGCAGAAUAAGCACCGGCUAACUCCGUGCCAGCAGCCGCGGUAAUACGGAGGGUGCGAGCGUUGUCCGGAUUUAUUGGGUUUAAAGGGUGCGUAGGCGGCCUUAUAAGUCCGGGGUGAAAGCCCGUUGCUUAACAACGGAACUGCCCUGG